ensembl:lncRNA novel transcript
AGUCUGCCGCUGCAAAUACCAAAAGCUGUCCUCAUUGAGUCAUCCCUCCCAGAGCAGGAAGAGCAGAGAUAAAACAGCAUGUAAGCAUCUCUGCAGUUGCUGUCCCCAGAGCCCACUUCCUGGAUAUUGCCAGCUGCCUGGACCAACCUUUCCGAAAGAUCAGCCAGGUCACAGUGAGGGUCAAAGAUCUCCCCUUCCUGUAAAGACACCAGUCCUACUGGAUCAGGGCCCACCCGUGUGACUUCACUUUUACUUGAGUACCUCUCACAGACCCUAACUCCAAAUCAGGUCACUUGCUGAGGUACUGCAUGUGAAGACUUUGACAUUUGAAUUUUGAGGGGGCCACCGUUUAACCUGAACCACCAAGGACAGAGCCAAAGACCCUGGGUGACAGGCCCAGAACAGGACCUGGUGGAGGCUCUUCUUUAGGGGAGAGAGGGAAAUGGGAGCCACCACUGGCAGAGCCUGAAGGCAGGGCAGCCAGAAAGAAGCUGUGGGAGUCCCCACCAUGGAAGACCCUGCCGAGCAUCCUGUGUCUCCUGAAGCAGACCCUGACAUGAGGACUGGGGGCACGUGUUUAUUAAGGGCGAUCCCCGGAAGGAGGAGAUAACCAGGCAGAAGUCCUAGCAGAGUAUGCCCACGCUGGUUAGUGCUGCUGCAAAGAUGAGCCGAAGACCAUGAGAGACCUCCAGGUGGUCCUUCUGGGGAGAAGAAAUGGGUUUUGGCCCCAAAUCCUUCUGCUGCAUUUUUCCCCUAUCCCUGGGAAGCCAUGAGACCUCAAACCUGUGUUCCCAAGGAGGCGAGCUGCUGUUCCCAGGUGAUGAUAUGAUGUGCUUGGGGAAAGUAAGUGGCUGCCAGACAUGGCUGAGAGCUGUUGUCACUGCCGUCAAGUGCAUGUCUCCAAGCCAUAUCACACGGCGUCCCUCGAUGUGAGGCCACAUGGCAAGUGGGCCGUGGAUCUCCCUCUGCCCUUUGCAAGCACGUAAGACAGCAGAUUUUGCAGAUACCUUGUGGCGCAGGGGAAUUUCCUUUGGCCAGGUCUGAAGAAAUAAAGCAGCAGGCACCGAGAACAAAGCCAAGGCUUUCAAAAGACAAGGAGCCAAAAAACUUACUCAAAAUAAAAGUAGUUUUAAAAUGUCU